ACUUGGAUAACCGUGGUAAUUCUAGAGCUAAUACAUGCUGAAAAUCCCGACUUCGGAAGGGAUGUGUUUAUUAGAUAAAAAACCAAUGCCCUUCGGGGCUUUUUGGUGAUUCAUGAUAACUUUACGGAUCGCAUAGCCUUGCGCUGGCGACGGUUCAUUCAAAUUUCUGCCCUAUCAACUUUCGAUGGUAAGGUAUUGGCUUACCAUGGUUUCAACGGGUAACGGGGAAUUAGGGUUCGAUUCCGGAGAGGGAGCCUGAGAAACGGCUACCACAUCCAAGGAAGGCAGCAGGCGCGCAAAUUACCCAAUCCCGACACGGGGAGGUAGUGACAAUAAAUACUGAUACAGGGCUCUUUUGGGUCUUGUAAUUGGAAUGAGUACAAUUUAAACCUCUUAACGAGGAACAAUUGGAGGGCAAGUCUGGUGCCAGCAGCCGCGGUAAUUCCAGCUCCAAUAGCGUAUAUUAAAGUUGUUGCAGUUAAAAAGCUCGUAGUUGAAACUUGGGCCUGGCUGGCGGGUCCGCCUCACCGCGUGCACUCGUCCGGCCGGGCCUUCCUUCUGAAGAACCUCAUGCCCUUCACUGGGCGUGUUGGGGAAUCAGGACUUUUACUUUGAAAAAAUUAGAGUGUUCAAAGCAGGCCUUUGCUCGAAUACGUUAGCAUGGAAUAAUAAAAUAGGGCGUGCGUUUCUAUUUUGUUGGUUUCUAGAGACGCCGCAAUGAUUAACAGGAACAGUCGGGGGCAUCAGUAUUCAGUUGUCAGAGGUGAAAUUCUUGGAUUUACUGAAGACUAACUACUGCGAAAGCAUUUGCCAAGGAUGUUUUCAUUAAUCAGUGAACGAAAGUUAGGGGAUCGAAGACGAUCAGAUACCGUCGUAGUCUUAACCGUAAACUAUGCCGACUAGGGAUCGGGCGAUGUUCUUUUUCUGACUCGCU
rnacentral:rRNA from 1 species